GUGGCUCAGUUGGUAGAGUGCUUGCCUUUCAUGCAUGAGGACCUGGGUUUGAUUCCUCAGC
rnacentral:tRNA from 1 species